AAUUAAAAUAUAUUAUGUAAUAUUUUAAUUUUUCGCGUGAUUUCGAUUAUAGAAUUUGCUUACGCCAAUCAGAAAGCCGUUAGGCGAACUGUGGCGUACGGCGUCAGUCUCUUGUGGAAAGUCAUCGUGAUAGGACGCGUAUUUGUAACUAGCUUUGCUGAUUUGAAUACGCAGUAGUAAUUUCCAUUUCUUCAUAUUCGAUGGCUAUUUUGCAAUGAUAUUCUAGAGAUUACAUCAGCAUUGAUGACAGAGUAGAUUUUUGCAUUUAUUGAGAUCAAUGUGGAAUCAAUGUGGAAUCAAUAAAGAAUUCUUAUAUUCAUAUUAUUUUCUGGUUUUAUUGAGAUUUUUUGGUAGAUAGACUUCCUAAAUAAAUCUUUAAAUUAUUAUGUAAAAAAA